rnacentral:rRNA from 1 species
CAGUCGCCGCGGUAAUACGUAGGGUGCGAGCGUUAAUCGGAAUUACUGGGCGUAAAGCGUGCGCAGGCGGUUGUGUAAGACAGGUGUGAAAUCCCCGGGCUUAACCUGGGAACUGCGCUUGUGACUGCACGGCUAGAGUAUGGCAGAGGGGGGUGGAAUUCCACGUGUAGCAGUGAAAUGCGUAGAGAUGUGGAGGAACACCGAUGGCGAAGGCAGCCCCCUGGGCCAAUACUGACGCUCAUGCACGAAAGCGUGGGGAGCAAACAGGAUUAGAUACCCCCGUAGUCCCUGUCUCUUAUAC